GUGAAUAAGAUAAUGGUAGUCUAGGGAUGUUUGAUUCCCAGCCAAAAGGUCCUGGGUUCAAACCCCAGUGUCCGCA